rnacentral:rRNA from 1 species
GUCUUUUUGAUAAUAAUUUAAAGUCUAACCUGCCCAAUGAGAUUUUGAAUGGCUGCAGUAUUUUGACUGUACAAAGGUAGCAUAAUAAUUAGUUCUUUAAUUGUGGACUGGAAUGAAUGGUUGAACAAGAAAAAAUCUGUCUCUAUAUAAAUUUUUUAGAAUUUUAUUUUUAAGUUAAAAAGCUUAAAUAUUAUUUAAAGACGAGAAGACCCUAUAGAGUUUUAUAAUUAAAUUUAGUAUAAUAGAUUAGAUUGAUUUUAUUAUAUUAAUUAAGUUAUUUUAUUGGGGUAGUGAGAAAAUUGAAUAAAUUUUUCUUGAAAUAUUACAUAUAUAAAUGAUUAAUUGAUCCAUUAAUUAUGAUUAUAAGAUAAAAUUACCUUAGGGAUAACAGCGUAAUUUUUUUAGAGAGUUCUUAUUGAUAAAAAAGUUUGCGACCUCGAUGUUGGAUUAAAAUUAUUCUUGGUGUAGAAGUUGGGAAUAUUUGGUCUGUUCGACCAUUAAAAUUUUACGUGAUC